UACGGAAGGCAGCAGUGGGGAAUAUUGCACAAUGGGCGCAAGCCUGAUGCAGCCAUGCCGCGUGUAUGAAGAAGGCCUUCGGGUUGUAAAGUACUUUCAGUCGUGAGGAAGGUGUUAAGGUUAAUAACCUUAGCAAUUGACGUUAGCGACAGAAGAAGCACCGGCUAACUCCGUGCCAGCAGCCGCGGUAAUACGGAGGGUGCGAGCGUUAAUCGGAAUUACUGGGCGUAAAGGGCACGCAGGCGGUUAAUUAAGUUGGAUGUGAAAUCCCCGGGCUUAACCUGGGAAUGGCAUUCAAGACUGGUUAGCUAGAGUCUUGUAGAGGGGGUAGAAUUCCAUGUGUAGCGGUGAAAUGCGUAGAGAUGUGGAGGAAUACCGGUGGGCGAAGGCGGGCCCCCUGGGACAAAGACUGACGCUCAUGUGCGAAAGCGUGGGGAGCAAACAGGGAUUAGAUACC
rnacentral:rRNA from 1 species